AGUGAACGCUGGCGGUAGGCCUAACACAUGCAAGUCGAACGGCAGCACAGUAAGAGCUUGCUCUUACGGGUGGCGAGUGGCGGACGGGUGAGGAAUACAUCGGAAUCUACUUUUUCGUGGGGGAUAACGUAGGGAAACUUACGCUAAUACCGCAUACGACCUACGGGUGAAAGCAGGGGAUCUUCGGACCUUGCGCGAUUGAAUGAGCCGAUGUCGGAUUAGCUAGUUGGCGGGGUAAAGGCCCACCAAGGCGACGAUCCGUAGCUGGUCUGAGAGGAUGAUCAGCCACACUGGAACUGAGACACGGUCCAGACUCCUACGGGAGGCAGCAGUGGGGAAUAUUGCACAAUGGGCGGAAGCCUGAUGCAGCAACGCCGCGUGCGGGAUGACGGCCUUCGGGUUGUAAACCGCUUUCGCCUGUGACGAAGCGUGAGUGACGGUAAUGGGUAAAGAAGCACCGGCUAACUACGU
rnacentral:rRNA from 1 species